AAUGAACAAGACCAUCCUGUUACUGGUAGUCCUCUUGGUUUGUGUUUACCAUGCCACAGCACAGCUUUUGCCAGCAGGAGGAGCAUUUCUAGCUGGACUUUCUCUGCCAUUUAUAAUUAACGGAGGCCAGUUUCCUUUACCUGGCACAUUCCCAGCUGGAAUUCCACCACCACCCUUCUACUACCCUGGACCUAGAUUUUUCUAAAAAGAACAAAAGAUCGAUUGGCCUAAUAUUACUGAUGACGAUUUCCAUGACAACAAGACCACACAGAAACACAACAUCAAUACAGGCUGUAAAAUCAUUUAUUAUAUCACCACAACUGCCCAAAAUGUUUUUUAAAAACACGGUUUUUAAAAAGUUUUGUUAAGAUUGUUUUGUAACUCUUCUGUGAACAUAAUUAAUUAUUCCACUGUAUAAUAUUCAAAAUUAUAUAUACCAUAAUGCUAAACAUUAAAUAAAGUUUUUUUCAAAGUGGUAUGUUCCAAAGAGAUUUUAAAUUUUAUAAAAAUAAGGAAAGUAUUCAAGAUCCCAAAGAAAUACAAGGGAGAAGAUAUAUUUUGGAGCUUAUUUGGCCCCAUUAAUUGAACAAGAUUCAAAGGAGUUAGAAACAUUAAUCUGGUAAACAUAUGCCAAAUAGAUAUGAACAUAAAAAUCUGGAUUAUUCAUACAUCAAGAAUUGCUGAUACUUUUUACAGAUUAAACAAAAUCAUAAACAGCUCUAUAUAAAAGAUUACAAUAUAUGCUAAAUUAGACAAAAUAGAUGAAAAAAAGUAAAAUGUUUUUAUAUAGCAGUCUUAAACCAAAAGGGGUAAACUAUUUUCAAGUAAACAAAAUUUUAUCUGUAGAAAAAUAAUCACAUUCUGUAGAUUAAUUUAUUUCAGUGGGGUACUAACUUCCAUGGAUGAGGGAAAAAAAAUUAUUUUUGUGGAUAUUUGAUUUCAAGGUUUUGCCAAAAUCAGCUUACAAAUCUACUAACAAAUUUGUACUUCUUUAAAUAAAAAUUUAAUUUGUGAUUUACCUUUAUUCACGAAAAUUGGUACAAAAAAAUAAUGAUAAAUGACAAUAACUCAGAAUAAGUGAUCACAACUUCAAAUUAGAAUGGGGAAGACAUUUAGAUAUUUCCAAGAAACAAAGGUCUGUGACCUUAGUAGUAAUUCAUUAGAAAAUGAAAAAACAUUUUUUAUGAAAUUGUAAAAUUAACAAAGAGUUAAGAGAUUUUUUUUAACUAUAACAUGAAAAGCAUCUCAAGUAAAUAAACUUGGUUCCUAUAUAAAUAAAAAGUGAAUUGUACCAAGGACAAGGAUCUCUUUUUUACUGUUAUUUUAUGAUUUAUUAACUACGGUAUGACAACAAGGAGAUGUAUGCCUGAAUUGUAUUUUUUUGUUAUAUUUGUUACUAGCUUAUUUAUUUUAAUGACAAUAAAGAUUUAAAU